rnacentral:rRNA from 1 species
UACGUAGGGGGCAAGCGUUGUCCGGAAUCAUUGGGCGUAAAGAGCGUGUAGGCGGUUCGGUAAGUCGGCUGUGAAAGUCCAGGGCUCAACCCUGGGAUGCCGGUCGAUACUGCCGGACUAGAGUUCGGAAGAGGCGAGUGGAAUUCCCAGUGUAGCGGUGAAAUGCGUAGAUAUUGGGAGGAACACCAGUGGCGAAGGCGGCUCACUGGACCGGAACUGACGCUGAGGCGCGAAAGCGUGGGGAGCAAACAGG